AGAGUUUGAUCCUGGCUCAGAUUGAACGCUGGCGGCAGGCCUAACACAUGCAAGUCGAACGGUAACAGGAAACAGCUUGCUGUUUCGCUGACGAGUGGCGGACGGGUGAGUAAUGUCUGGGAAACUGCCUGAUGGAGGGGGAUAACUACUGGAAACGGUAGCUAAUACCGCAUAACGUCGCAAGACCAAAGAGGGGGACCCUCGGGCCUCUUGCCAUCGGAUGUGCCCAGAUGGGAUUAGCUUGUUGGUGGGGUAACGGCUCACCAAGGCGACGAUCCCUAGCUGGUCUGAGAGGAUGACCAGCCACACUGGAACUGAGACACGGUCCAGACUCCUACGGGAGGCAGCAGUGGGGAAUAUUGCACAAUGGGCGCAAGCCUGAUGCAGCCAUGCCGCGUGUAUGAAGAAGGCCUUCGGGUUGUAAAGUACUUUCAGCGGGGAGGAAGGGAGUAAAGUUAAUACCUUUGCUCAUUGACGUUACCCGCAGAAGAAGCACCGGCUAACUCCGUGCCAGCAGCCGCGGUAAUACGGAGGGUGCAAGCGUUAAUCGGAAUUACUGGGCGUAAAGCGCACGCAGGCGGUUUGUUAAGUCAGAUGUGAAAUCCCCGGGCUCAACCUGGGAACUGCAUCUGAUACUGGCAAGCUUGAGUCUCGUAGAGGGGGGUAGAAUUCCAGGUGUAGCGGUGAAAUGCGUAGAGAUCUGGAGGAAUACCGGUGGCGAAGGCGGCCCCCUGGACGAAGACUGACGCUCAGGUGCGAAAGCGUGGGGAGCAAACAGGAUUAGAUACCCUGGUAGUCCACGCCGUAAACGAUGUCGACUUGGAGGUUGUGCCCUUGAGGCGUGGCUUCCGGAGCUAACGCGUUAAGUCGACCGCCUGGGGAGUACGGCCGCAAGGUUAAAACUCAAAUGAAUUGACGGGGGCCCGCACAAGCGGUGGAGCAUGUGGUUUAAUUCGAUGCAACGCGAAGAACCUUACCUGGUCUUGACAUCCACGGAAGUUUUCAGAGAUGAGAAUGUGCCUUCGGGAACCGUGAGACAGGUGCUGCAUGGCUGUCGUCAGCUCGUGUUGUGAAAUGUUGGGUUAAGUCCCGCAACGAGCGCAACCC
rnacentral:rRNA from 1 species